GACAAACGCUGGCGGCGUGCCUAACACAUGCAAGUCGAACGAGAAAGUCGGCUUCGGCCGAUGAGUACAGUGGCGCACGGGUGAGUAACACGUGGGUAACCUACCUCUCGGAGGGGGAUAACACACCGAAAGGUGUGCUAAUACCGCAUAACACGACAUUGUAGAUUAUGAUGUCGUCAAAGGUGGCGUAAGCUGCCGCUGAGAGAUGGGCCCGCGGACCAUUAGCUUGUUGGUAGGGUAAUGGCCUACCAAGGCGACGAUGCGUAGCCGACCUGAGAGGGUGAACGGCCACACUGGGACUGAGACACGGCCCAGACACCUACGGGUGGCUG
rnacentral:rRNA from 1 species